rnacentral:rRNA from 1 species
ACAGCAGUCGCCGCGGUAACACAGAGGGUGCGAGCGUUAAUCGGAUUUACUUGGCGUAAAGCGUGCGUAGGCGGCUUUUUAAGUCGGAUGUGAAAUCCCUGAGCUUAACUUAGGAAUUGCAUUCGAUACUGGGAAGCUAGAGUAUGGGAGAGGAUGGUAGAAUUCCAGGUGUAGCGGUGAAAUGCGUAGAGAUCUGGAGGAAUACCGAUGGCGAAGGCAGCCAUCUGGCCUAAUACUGACGCUGAGGUACGAAAGCAUGGGGAGCAAACAGGAUUAGAUACCCGUGUAGUCCCUGUCUCUUAUAC